rnacentral:rRNA from 1 species
UACGUAGGUGGCAAGCGUUGUCCGGAUUUAUUGGGUUUAAAGGGUGCGUAGGUGGUCUAUUAAGUCAGUACUGAAAUAUCCCGGCUUAACCGGGAGGGUGGCAUUGAUACUGAUGGACUUGAGUGGAGUCGAGGUAGGCGGAAUUGACGGUGUAGCGGUGAAAUGCUUAGAUAUCGUCAAGAACACCGAUAGUGCAGACAGCUUACUAGGCUCUAACUGACACUGAGGCACGAAAGUGUGGGGAUCAAACAGG